CAUUUCCAACCAAGUUACAUUUACUAUUUACUUCGCUUGUUACUAUUGCUAUUUCAUUUAAACAUUUACAACUCUUAGAAUUAAUAAACACUAGAUUUAAUUGUUCCCUAGCUCCUUGUGGAUUCGAUCCCUAAGUACUACAUCUGAACCUCUUUUGAUGAGAGUAACACUCCUUAGGGUAAUUUGAGUGGUAUCAACAAAUCCUCAAACCUGGUUGAUGAAUUAUGGCCGUGCGAUCUGAGUGUGAUUAACGGUUCAGAACCUUCUCGGAGGCCCCCACACUAGAGAGGAUCGCUAUCUGGUUAGGUCUUGAACUUACCUGUGUAGUCGCAUAGUUGUCUGACAGGCUUUCGUUUUUGAGGAUUUGUUUGGACAAUUUGAUGAUGCCUAUGUACUUUGUUUAGAAAAAAAAUUGAUUAUGAAAAAAUGUUUGAGAUGCUUGGUUUAGAAAGGCUAGUAAAUUAUCUUCUAACUAGGUUUUAAGCCUUUAAUCUUUGAUAGAGUUCACAGAAAUCAAUUAUCUGCGUUAUUGGUUAUAGUAAAGAUUUCGGUUAUCUUCAUUUGCUUUCUUGUUAAAUGCAAAGGAGAUUAAAGCUGGGGUUUAAAAUAAUCUUUUAUUUUAUGGGAAAGGAAAUUAACAGUGGUUGUACUUGUAUUAUAAUGUGACUCCAAGAAUCUGUUGGCUGGUGAUUGAUCCAUUUGGACAUUCUGCAAUCCAGGCUUACUUAAUAAGCUUCAUCUAAACUAUUAAAACUGAAAUACAUUUAAUAAUCAAUUCUAACUUUUUUCUAAAUGAUUACAAGGAUUGCCACUGGCCUUAAAUAUCAUUUAACAACACUACAAGAACUAUUUUAAUUCAGUUGACGUUCUUAACCAAAUAUCACAACACGUGUUUCCUUAACCAAUUUUAACUUGGUUAAGAAUUCAAAAGUUGUCAAUGCAUCCAUAAUGCAAUAGACUAUUAAUAUAAGUUAAAAUUAUGAUAUAUUAAUUCAACUAUAUUUCAUCUAAUGCUAAUCAAGCCUGUACUUCAAUUAUGUACUCGGAUCAAGAAAUUAAAUAUUAGAUAUGUGAAAUUUGUAUUUGGUUGUAUGUAAAAGAUCUAUCUAUUACUAUAAAGAACACUAUUCUUUCCUUUUCCUGCUGCCACGUCAGAAAAUAAGGUAAAGAGAUGACAACACGUGUCCUAAUUUUUUAAACCGCGCCGCAUCAUUUAAUCCGAUCUUUCGUUCAUUCGGGCUUUAAUUUUGUUGGGCCGUUUAUUCUCUUCUUCGAGCCCAAACCACAUAUAUUGGCUUCACCUUGAUGAAAUGCCGCGUUUCUAUCAAAGUUAGGCAGACGAUCUUUCAUCUUCUUCGCCACAGCCGACAUCGAAUUUAGGGUUCGCCUUAUUCUUUAAUCUCUGAGCAUCUUCACCAUAAAGGAGUGUCAGGAGUAUGAGUGAGUUGAAUAGUCUAGAAGAAUCUAUGUAUGAAUAUUCGAUUGAGUCGUUACGUCUUUCUUCCACAAAUUCUCAUUCACUACAUCCUCUACUCUCUUUGGUUCUCUGAACCUAUAGCUAUAAAUAGAAUUGCUAAUUCAUCUCUCCUCAUUGCUGAUUUGAAAGCUCCGGCGUCGUAGCAAUUCCGAGCGUAGCUAGAAGUUUCUUACUGUGUUUAUGACUGUGGGGUUUCUUUUCGGUAUCGUACGCUGCAAGGUCCGGCGUAUCUAAGCAGUUCGAAGUUAAGAAGCAUAUGAAUAGUCUAAAUAAACCUGUUGUCAAGAGCGUUCAAGUACGGUAAAUCUAUUAUCUUCUUUUUUUUAAGUAUUUUUCUGUUUUGGUUAAUUUAGGUGAAUAUCAUAAUCUGAUGAGUCAUGCUUUUCUCUCUCUCUCUCUCUCUCUCUCUCUCUCUCUCUCUCUCUCUCUCUCUCUCUCUCUCUCAUGAUUUCUAUCUGUUGGCUGUGUUUAUUUUGUUCUAACUGAACAAACAGUACACAUUGUGUCGAGAAAACAAGGUGGGAUCUCGAAUCCAAUAGCCGGUGAAGCUAUGGUUCUGUGUUUUAACAGAUUUUCGCGAACGCUACCAUCCCGCACAAAACGCAGUUCAACUUCUCGGACACGUAUCGAGAAUGAUACUGGAGUAUUGGAAUCAACGGCAAGCGUCUUCGAUUCAUAGUUUACAGUCUGCUUCUAUGAGAUGAUCCCGUCCAGGUCCAUGAUCGUUAUUACCAAAUCUUUGUUAAUCUCUUUUCUUAAUUUGUUUCUCUUUGUUGUGUUCCUCUGAUUAGAUAAAUCAGAAAACAAAAAAACAGUUAAAAUCUAAAGUUAUCAUGUUUAAAGAAAAUAUGGAAUAUUUUCACAGUUCCGACAUGUUAGAAAUAACAAAAAACAGUUUGAAUAGAAAUACAUAAAAGUAUAUGUGAAACUAUUUUUAUUAAUUUAAAAUAAAUUCCAUAUAAAAUAGUUCACUUUAAGCUUUAAUACAUGUUAACUGCCUGUCAGAUAUCGAGUGGAGAUGUUCGUUGCUGAUGAAACCACUGAGGGCCUGUUCGUCUGUUUCGAUGGGGUUAUGACAAAACUGCAUAGCAUUAGAGCUAGGGAUGUUAACAUGGGUAAUUACCUAUGGGUUUACCCAAACCCACUAAUAAUGGGUUGGGAUUUUACCCGUCUAAGAUUUAGUGGGUCAAUCAUGGGUAUUAAUUUUAAAACCCAAUUUUUAAUUAAAUUAUAUAAAAUUUGCAAAAAAAAAUUUUCCGUCAAAAUCAAAAAAAAAAAAAUAGAAAAGUACAGUAAAACUAACAAAAUCGGAAAAAACAGAAAAGUAAAACUUUAAAGGUUUUUGUAUAACUACAAACUAAGUGAAACUAUUAGCACGAAAAUCCUUCACCAGAAAAUCCCGCCCAGUUUUUUGAAUUUUCCCACCCAUUUUUUCAAAAAAUCGAUGCGGAGGCGACGUAGACGUGUAUUAAACCCGCCAUUUACCUCAGCCAAUCUCUCUCUCUACUAUUCAAUCUCUCUCUAGAUUUCUCUCUACAAUCGGUCUCUCUUCUUUCUAGAUUUUUAGGUUACUCAGAAUCAUGACUCAUCCAGACGAGGACUAUAGGCAGAUGAAGGCUUGGAAGAGAGACACCAACAUGCUUGGCUGCGUGGCGGAUGCCGAGUGUGGGAUUACGACCAGAUGCCCUUGUGGGGGGACAAUCAUCAACGAGGUGUCUCGGAACCUGAAGUAUCCAACCGAUUUUGAUACUUUACCGGGGAGAAAAUACUUCACUUGCAAAAAUUAUGAGAAUGAUGGCUUCCAUUUCCGUCAACCAUGGGUCUUCGGAGUCCAGGAAGAGGUUGAAAUGUUAAGGAAGCGCGUGGAUGCGAUGGCUGCAGAGAUUGCUGAACUGAAGUAUAAUCUAACCCGUCAGAAUCCCACCACUCCAUGAGAUGCGUCCGGUCCAUGACAUUACUCUACUAUCUGUUGUUGUUGUUUGCUUGAGAUUAUGUUCUUAUGUUGUUGUUGUUUGCUUGAGAUUCUGAUUUACUAAGACUCUUCGUAUUUACUAAAGUUUUCCUAUUCUCCCUCA